GAUGAACGCUGGCGGCGUGCCUAAUACAUGCAAGUCGAGCGAACAGACGAGGAGCUUGCUCCUCUGACGUUAGCGGCGGACGGGUGAGUAACACGUGGAUAACCUACCUAUAAGACUGGGAUAACUUCGGGAAACCGGAGCUAAUACCGGAUAAUAUAUUGAACCGCAUGGUUCAAUAGUGAAAGACGGUUUUGCUGUCACUUAUAGAUGGAUCCGCGCCGCAUUAGCUAGUUGGUAAGGUAACAGCUUACCAAGGCAACGAUGCGUAGCCGACCUGAGAGGGUGAUCGGCCACACUGGAACUGAGACACGGUCCAGACUCCUACGGGAGGCAGCAGUAGGGAAUCUUCCGCAAUGGGCGAAAGCCUGACGGAGCAACGCCGCGUGAGUGAUGAAGGUCUUCGGAUCGUAAAACUCUGUUAUUAGGGAAGAACAAAUGUGUAAGUAACUAUGCACGUCUUGACGGUACCUGUCAGAAAGCCACGGCUAACUACGUG
rnacentral:rRNA from 1 species